rnacentral:tRNA from 1 species
AUCUCUUAAGUAUAAUAAAUGUACAUUUGCCUUCCAAGCAAAAGGAUUAAUAGCUUAAAAGAGAUA